CAAUUAGCGUCUUGCAUUUAAUGGAGCAUCUCUGGCUGUGAAAUAGCUUUUAUGUCAAGGCUGUGGUUUUCAAUAUCCCUGUGAAAAUACACCUGUCUCUAGCUGAAUUAUCAAGAAAUGGAAAACUCAGAUUGCUUUUCUCCAAUCUUGUGCCCCAGGGCUGGCAGAAAAGAGGCAGCAUGACUAGAUAGAAACAGAGCCAGGCUACAGUAUGCGGCCAAGGCAAAUAGCUAAGGCCAAUAAGACAGCUGGGUACUCCAGCUGGAUGCAAACAGCUAGACUUUGGAGUCCAUUUAUAUGGGGACUAUGAGAGGUUGUGAAAAACGAGGCAGACAGCUGGGAAGGGAAAGUAAUGUAAGAAGCCUGGAACUUGUGAGGCAGAGUUGAGAAGGGGAAACAUUCUGACAUAUUGGCCGACACUCUUAAAAUCCAUAUAAAUGCAAAAAUUAUGGUCUUUCCAAAGAUAAGGUGGCAUUGGUAGGUCACCGUAGUGAUGUUAAACCUUGAAGAAGACUCUGCUUUCAAAGAAAUUAAGUAUUUUUAUUUAUCUGUAGAUUGAAAGCCACCCAUAUCUUCUUCAAGUGGAGCUGAUUCCAUUUUGCCAGUCCAAAGGGAUCUUUGUCACUGUGUACCAUCCAUUUGGAGCACCCAACUGGCCAUGGUCCGAGCCUGAGGAUGUUUCCCUUUUUGAUGACCCCCAAGUUAAGGAAAUUGCACUCAUGCACAGCAAAAUCGCAGCUCGGGCUAACACAGAUCUUGGUACUUAUCUGGCUCCAGAUUCAAAGAAACAUGAGUCUAAUUCCCAGAUCUAUCACUCCACAUUGCACGAAGGAAAAUAUUAAGGUAACCUUACAAAAUUUAACUCUUACACAGAGAAAUCCACUCUGGAGUAGAACAAAAUACUCCCUUCACAUCUAGAAUAUGGAAAAACUUUUGUCAGGUAUCACGUAGGUUACUUCCUUAUGAAUGCUAGAUGUUACUUAAAAGAGGGCCUGAGACUCCUUCAUUAAAACAGAUAAAGGCAGAGACAUUACUUUUUGCGCCUAGUGAUACAAAAUGAUGCAAUUUGGUUCCCACCAGCACUGUAAUUUGAUGACAUUUUUCAUUGUUCACCAAAAGCAUGCAUCCAUUGCGUGCUUUCUAGUGUUUGAACAAACACAACACUUUUCUACUUCUGUAUUUAAUAUUCUUCCUGCCAAUCUACUUACACUUGCCUUUUUGCAAAUUGCAAAUCAGCUGUUUGGGACCUUCAUCCAGGGUUUUGACCUUGAAUUGGAUGAAGAGGAGAUGGAAACCUUCCUCAGUUUCAAGAAGAAAUACUGAAUCCGUGCAUUAAGCGAGCGAAUACCUCUUUCACCAUCUUCUUCUCUACUUUUAGACAGGACUAGAUUAUCACUCAAGUAUCUUCUCAACAGACAUCCAUCAAUAGCCUCACUUUAAAAAAAAAAAAAGGGAAUCUUAGCCAAUACCUGAUCACAUCUGUAUCUUCUGGAAUCCAGCAAGCACCAGGGUUUGUUAGAGCACUGUCCACCUCAUACAGGUUAGUAGCACUGGGAUUUGUGUGCAGUUAAUGUAUGCUGAGGCACCUUGCGAUGGAUUUCAGGCUGUUGUCUGAAAAUCAAAAUGGGCUGGAAACGCCAAAAUAAAUAAUUUUAAAUUAUUUUUCUGUUUCCUUUAGCUGCUUUACAUUACAGACAGUAACUGUAAAUAAAAUCCACUUUAAGAAUGAGCUUCAAUUUUUUUUUAAGUGAAAAGCUGUGCCUGUGCAGUUUCCUUAGCAUUAAGAGAAAGAAUAUCCAUUUAAAUGUUUUAAUCAUAUUCUCUUUUGCUAGAUGCAAAAAUCACAAGGAUUAUCAUCAUUUUUUUUUUUUUUUUUUGGAAGACAAACAUGGGCAUUAUCUUCAGGUCCUCCAGGGAUCAGAAGAACUGCGCUUCAUUGUUCAAGUGAUUUGUAACACCUCAUGCAUAACAAAUCACAGCAUUAAGUCCAACAUGUAUUGCACAAGAUGGAAGAACAUAGUUGAUGGGAAUACUGAAGAGUAAGCUUUGAGCAAACACAGGUUUGUUUCUUUUAUUAUCAACUACAAAGAUUCUGAUCUUUUGCCUGUGUCUUUUUAUUGACCUUGUAAAUAUUCUUAGUUGUAAGAAAAUAUGUUAACAGGUUACCCAGAGAGGUGGUGGAUGCCCCAUCCAUGGAGACACCCAAGGUCAGGCUGAACAGUGCUCUGAGCACCUGAUUUACCUGUGUGUGUUCCUGUUCACUGCAGGGGAGUUAGACCAGAUGGCUUCUAAGGGGCCCUUCCAACUCUAAGGGUUCUAUGUACUGUGUUAGUGUUUAGUAAUGAUAGUUAAAUAAAUUGAAUAACCCAGAAUCCAUGGGACAGACAAAAAUAAUUUGCAAUAAAUAUAAAUCAUCACAAGUUUUAGAGAAAUUUAGAGAUUCUCCUGGUGUCAGUAUUUUCAGACAACAGGUUAAAACACUUUUAGUUGUUAAUAUAAGACAAGCCAUUCAACAUCAGAAGGCCUUUAUGAGGUAGAACAAAAUGCUGUUUCAGAUUCUCACCAAGUACAGAGCUGUGUGAUUGAUUGAAAACACCUCAGAGGACACUGCUGACUUGUGUUUCUGGAGCAGCUUUCUUAAUGAAGUUUCCUAUUUAUGAACUGCUAAACACUAACAAACUGGUAGGAGAUUUGUAUGUUUGGAUUUAUCAUAUCUACAGAAGUAGAUAAAUACUGCCUUUAUCAGUAGAAUGGCUGCAGUUAAGGCUGCAAACUUCUUCCAGCAAAACCAAAGUCUGAUAAAGGAAACAGAAGAAUUAUUUUAUUUGGCAGAAAAGUCAGGCAGAUUUCUAGAAGCCAAGAGUACAUUUUCACUCUUACACCACUUGCUGGAUAGUAGUCCCUUUCUGUUCUAAUCCAAAGGUUGUUACUGAAUGUUGUUUUCCAUAGGGAAAAAGAGUUGCUUCAGCCUAUGCACCUGCUCAAAAUUUAAUGAAGUGUUUGUUAAUUGAGACUUCUUGCUCUUGACUUCUAACACACAAAACUCCUGUAGCCCCUUUGGGUUCUUCCAGUCCAGGAGAAGAACAAUGUGGAUGAGCAGUACUGCCCACAGAGUGGAAGGAUGAUUAUGCGAUUAAGGUUCAGGGCUAGGAUACAGAUUUCAUGGAUAUUCUUUGGCAACUGAUUUUCUCUGAACCUGAGGUUUUUAAGCCUUUAAGGGGAAUGAUGACACAUCUUUGAGGCUACUUUAGUCUUCUGUAGGAUAUUUUAAUAACAGGUACCCUAGAACCAGGAAAGGAAUGGUAUCAAAUUGGAUUUCAUACAGCAACUCUUCUAAAGAAUGCAUUUCAGACCCAUACCACAUGGUCAUAAUGCAGUGGUAUGGAAGGUGCCUGCAACAGGUAGUCUUUUUCCCUGCCUCUCUAAUAGGUUAAGUUGAAAAGGUCAGGUUACAGUCUGUCAUUGUAAUCACAGUUGGAAAACAAGCCACGUGGAAGAUGUUGCACUUCCAGGCACUCAGACCGCAGCCUGGUUCUAUCAAAAAGAUCCCAAGCAGAUCUGGAGCUGUUCUGAAGCAUCAGGAGCAAUAGUCACUCAGUGCUGCAGCAUACAGCCUAUCCUGCUUCACAGGAAUUUUCGAGGAACAUUCCAAUUUAAUCAGAGUUAAAGUUAUUUACAGGAUGUUUAUGGACUCUGGUAGGCAGGAAGCCAGACUAGAUGAUCACAGCAGCUGCAUAAUAGUAAAAUAAAAAAGUCCAAAACAAGCUAGAAGCCAGAAAUUGUUCAUUUGUUGUACAGACAAUAGAUAAUUUCUUUUCCAACUGCAGAGAGCUUACCAGAGAUAAAAAGAGUGGGUGAUAUUAGUCACAAGGAAUAAAGUAUCUUCAAUUCUGCAGCAGCACUGCAGCCAUAUGAUUUAAUGACAGCACAUCCUUCUGGCAGAAGAGUACUGCCUUGCAGCUGUCUACAAGAGCCUGCUAUAAGCUGCUCUGAAAGUAUACUUCCAUAGCUUUAGCAAAAAAAGUUUUAUUUGUUGUAAGGGGGGCAUCCUGCACAGAGGUACUUCCACCUACUGACAAGUGCUAGGAACCAUUAAAUCACCAUCUUCAGAUUCUUCUGAAGUCUGUGUUGACAAGUGAGUGUGCACUGGCGGGCAUUUAACCCACUCCUCUUUUUAAGAGAGAACUGCAAUUAAAGUGCAUGCUGCUAUUUAGAUACAUGCAGCAGCAUUCAUCUCUACCCUCAUCCCACUGACCUAUGGAACAUCUGUCCAUUAUUAGUCCCUAGGCUGUACAGAUACAUAGCAUGAGAAGCAGAUACUUGAGAUGCCACAGUUCUAGCACCUCAUAGACCUGAAAAUAUCAAGGCCAUCUCUUCAAGGCAAGAGACAAGUCAAGCUACCACAGCGUGCUUCAGGAAAAGAAAAUGAGCACUCUCACAGCACAAAACACAGCUAAACUCCUUAGAGCCCAUUUAUGCAAGUUUUUCAAAGGGCCAGCAGAUUCCCUUCCUGUGCGCCAGUUUCCUCAGCAGCAUCAUCACCAGCUUUCUUUUGGAACUACAGCAGAAGUCUUUGAUUACCCCCAAAUCCUUUUUAAUCUCCCUCAGCAAUGCCACAGUGUGCCUAGGGCAAUCCUGCAGCUGCAUCUUUCCUAGUCAGCAGUGAGAUUAUCCACAUCACUGGACUGAACAUUGUAAAUAGAAAAUACCUUAGCUUAACAUUUUGCCUUUCUAUCACAAUACGCUGUCCCAUGACUUGAGCUUUUAUUGUGCAGCCCAUCCAUUCUGGUAUAGUUAGCCCUUGAUUAAAAGAUUCAAAAGGGGCUGCGUGAAAACAGUGUUAUUCCCAUGUUUCAAAGGGAAAACAUGGUAACAUAGAUAACAAACAAAUAGUAAAACUCAGAACACUUUGCCAGUUAUUGCUUCUCUGUUUUCCACCUACUAUCCAACUACUGUAAUUCCAAACAUUCCCACAUGAGACUCCAUAUCAUUCAAAAGCAAACAAUGAAAAACAAAAACAGCACAACAGAUCUAUUCUACUACAUGAACUUUUUGCAUUUAAUCCUGCACAGAAAGUUCAUAGAACCUUCUAUCAUGAGAAGAGGAACAGAGAGCCAACUAAUAUGAUCCAUGGCAUGGAAUAAUUCAUAUAAGCUGUAAUUAAGAAGGCUAAGGCCCUCCUUGACCAGACACCAGUGCAAGGAGCUAUGCCAGAAUUUUACCAAGUCCAGAACAGUUCGGAAAGCAUGAAAGAUUUUAGAGUUACUUUUCAGCCUAAAUGAGCAAGGCCCAACCAGAUAAGGCCCAGCUCUGAACUUUUUAAGUGACCAAGGACAAGUUCGGGUAUGUGUCUAGUACAUGAUAAAACACUACUGAUGGAGUUUACAGAUGAUAACCUAUAGGAUGAAGUGAUUAAAGUUUGUCUUAAGUCAGCUGUUCUGUGUCUAAAUCAAGCAGGAGUUCUGUAAUAGUAUUUUCAACAUAGUGAAUGCAGAUUACAGUCCAACGGAGGAUUUUCUUUUCCUGUGCCCCAGAUUCCACAAUCUGGCACAAGUAUUACAAUAUGUGCUUGUGUCAGACUCAAGAGCUCAACCAGAACGGUCCCCUCCCUCUUCCCCAGAGGUAAAGACAGUCCAAGUUAAAGAGCAAAGCAAUUCCAGCCAGCCAGCCUGUCUGCUUGCAUCCCAAUGUCAGAAGUCAAGCCAUUUUCACCCAAAGGAACAUUAAUGGCAAGCUGAAACAUAUAAUACCUGCAAAACUGCAGGUGGUGUCCUAUCUCCAACUAAUCUGAUAUUGACAGCUGCUUCUUGUGUUCUCUUCUGCUACACAAAAAUUCCUUGAAGAGGGACCUGUUUCCCACAUAAAGCAGUUCAAGGUUCUACACUGCUAUGGAAAUGCAUCUGUUCUCUCGGAUGCAUUUUCUUUUAACAUACAAAAAAAAAACUUCCUAAACUACUGUCACUUUAAGCAGUGAGGGCAGCUAAAAAAAAUAUAUAAAAUUUGAGUGCAAGCACUGACUUUAUAGGUCCUAGGACUGUGUUUGUCUCCAACUCUUAAUCUUUGCUGUGGGCUGGUCUCUAUCUCCCCUAGGGGUGCUGCAGUAUCACACUGGGGUAGCUGUUGCAGCAAUGUCCUGAGAAAGUCUGGU